rnacentral:lncRNA from 1 species
UAAACUCAUCAAGUUCAUUGAGUUGUAACAACCUUUUUUUACCGGCUAAAUCCAUGUCCAUGUUUAACUUUUUGAUUGCCCAAUAAGCUUUAUGUUCUAACUCAACAGGUAAAUGACAUGCUUUCCCAUAUACUAACCUGUAUGGAGAAGGACCAAUUGGAUUCUUGUAUGCUGUUCGGUAAGCCCACAAAGCGUCUUCUAAUUUAGCCGACCAAUCCUUCCUAUUUGCGUUGACUGUUUUCUCCAAGAUUUGUUUAAU